AGGGGGCGAGCGUUUAUCGGAAUUACUGGGCGUAAAGCGUGCGCAGGCGGUGAUGUAAGACCGAUGUGAAAUCCCCGGGCUCAACCUGGGAACUGCAUUGGUGACUGCAUUGCUCGAGUAUGGCAGAGGGGGGUGGAAUUCCACGUGUAGCAGUGAAAUGCGUAGAGAUGUGGAGGAACACCGAUGGCGAAGGCAGCCCCCUGGGCCAAUACUGACGCUCAUGCACGAAAGCGUGGGGAGCAAACAGGAUUAGAUACCCUGGUAGUCCACGCCCUAAACGAUGUCAACUGGUUGUCGGGCCUUCAUUGGCUUGGUAACGUAGCUAACGCGUGAAGUUGACCGCCUGGGGAGUACGGUCGCAAGAUUA
rnacentral:rRNA from 1 species